CAAAUGGACAUCAUUUGCUGAAACUCUUAAACCUGUGAAUAUUGUUUCUUAAUACCAUUUGUUUGAAUCACAGAAUCACAAAGCCAGAAUUUAUUAAAUCUGGAGGAAAUGGUUUAGUGGCUUGUUGACAUGUUUUUUAUUUAUGCCUGUGAGUGAGACAAGUAGAAUGCCCACAGUUCGAAGCAGUGCUAUUCAACACAGAGGUGCGUUCAUCACGGGUACCAAUUACCCACAGCUGUAAAGCUUUGCUCGGAGGCACGAGUCUUUCUUCUUAAAAGUAGGCCCUGGAACUGCUGCUUUUCCCACCUUCCCCUCUUCUCGGGGGAGGGGCUCUAUGACCAACCUGCCUUAUCUGAUGUGAUGGUCCUUCAUCGGAGAAAAGAUGGUGAUGAUGAACCAAGGCUGGGAGAAGGUGGAGCCAGGCUUCGGAAGGCUCCCAGGACAAAGUGCAGGAGGAAACGGGGAGGCCCCACAGACUCAGUCACAAUUAAGUCAGAAUUCUCUCAGGCUUGCUACAUUGUGAUGUCUAUCGGAGAUAGAAGACCUGCCUGGCUGGGUCUCAAAUGAGUCAGGACAGACUUCCACCUGUAACUGAGCCUCGUCCCUGACUGUCACCUCAGAAAUGAAGGAAGGAUGGGGCAGAGGACAGUCCACUACCCACUGCCCCGGGCGCGGAGCUCUCCUCACAACAGCCCUACCACCAGCCACUCUAGGGCUAAUGGAGACUGAUUUUAGGCAGAGGAAGACGGACCCUUCCAGAUGUUUCUGGCCUCCUCCUCUCCUGGGCCUCUUCCUCUCGUUCCUGGCAUGUCUUAAUCCUCCUGGUGGAAGUCUCCCACCUUUCAGGAGGACCUGUUCACCAGGACCCCUCAUCUCCGUGUCGUCUACACCUUCCACGGUGAAGGACACGCUCUCAGCCCUGUGUGGUGUCUUGAACGUGUGCACCUGUAUAACGUCUUCCACAGAAUUUGGUGAGCAAUUGAUUCUGGAAGAAACACGGUGGAGAUCUUCCCCAAGACUGGGGUGCUCAGAGGGAGCCCUCCCGUGGAGCUCAGCUCACAGCACCAGGCUAACUCAGGUUUCUGGGGCGGCGGCCUGUCCCGCCUCAGCCUGCCGGGGACGCCAUGUGGACGCCACGCUGCUCGACUGGCACAGAGGGACCGCAGGCGCCCGGUUCUCGGGCCUCUGAGGCUGGAGCCAGGGUUAGUGCCACUGUCUGGUUCAUCAAACGCUGCAGAGGCCGUGAGGAAGGCUGGCUUUCUCCAGCAAACCCCAUGCUCCCUUGUUCACUGUGAGACCUGGCAGCUGUCUGGAUUUACUUCUCACAAAUCACUUGUUCUACUUUCUGUAUCUUAUCAGAGGGGAAAUUGUGGAAUAAAACCUUUCAGGAUCUAGGAUGCUGGCGGCUGACUGGAUCUGGGAAGGCCCUCCUGGUACCUGGCCCUGCCUGCCUGUUCAGUCUAUGGGCCGGCCAAGCUGUAACACCACUAUGAACAGGAGUGGAAACAUGGGGGAGCAUCAGGUCACACCCCGACACUUGUCACAUGUCGGCUUCAUCAAAUGUGACAUUUACUUCGUGGGUGAGUUUUAUCCAGAUGUUCCUAUCCGUGAUUUUCUCAUUAGUUCUUGACCUGCCUUAUUGGAAGGGGAAGACGGGCAGAUGACCAGGCUGCUCGUGUUGCUUCAUUGGGUCGGGACGGCAGUUGUUCCGUUGGCCAUUCCUAGUAGUGUCACCCUGGCUCUUACGUUCUUGACCUAAAGAACUCCCGCUGGAAUACACGAAACUCCACCGGAAAGAGAGGUGACACAUGUCAAGUGCAUUUUGUGACACUGGUAGUUCUCCGCUCUUUAAGAAAAAUAUAAACACUGUGGUAUACUGGGCCUGCAAUUUAUACUUCUGAAGCCAGAUCAUAUCUGUGACCUCUUUUAACAUGAAAAGGAAGAAAAUCAAUAGGUGCAAAGAUGUGUGACCAUGAGAGCUGAUAAGCUAAUGUGCGCUUCCCUGAGCCUACGAUUUUCUGUCACUCCUGGUUCACAGAACUCACUCUGCACGUGUGCAACCCAGGGGGAGCCCUGUGCACCCGCCUCACCACCCUGCCUGUGAUGGAUGCGGCGCCUGGCAUCUGGGAAAGGUUACCGCGUUGAGAGAGCAUCGCAGCCGCCAUUCUUUCCUCCGUGUUCUCUGUUUGCAUCGUUGGGGUGAAGAAGCAGCUGCAGCAGGUGGCAGCGUCCUCUGGCCUGAAGACGUGGGGAGGAGAUGGGAGAUUCCCUCCGGAGCUGACAAUCUGAUUGGGUUCUGUGUGAACAAGCCGUUGACCUUCCUGCUUCCUUUCAGCCCCAUAGCCUGGGGUAGGACGCAGUUCUGUGUUGGUCACUCGUGUUCAGCCUGCACACGGGGCUCAGAGCCUGGACUCGUGCUCCCUCGCCAGAACCAAGGGCUUUCCCGGGAGAGUGGAGUCAGCGUGAACGCCUGACAGAUGCUCUGAGCGCUGAGUGGAAAGACUUCUGCACUUGUGACACGUAUUUAUAGGAGUUACGUUAAAAUCCUUCUCACACAAUUCCAACCUCUGGCUUAUCUGGUAUCGUUACCCAUUGAUUGUCUUUUAUCAUUCAAGUUGUGAUUACUUUGACUCUUUGUAUGAUAAAUGAUUUUGGAGUGAAGCCGGACAUUUUGGGUAUUAUAUUGAGACUUUGGGUCCUUUUUAAUCUCCCUUUUGUUUUUGGGUAAGGAAGGUUGGCCCUGAGCUAACAUCUGUUGCCAAUCCUCCUGUUUUUGCUUGAAGAAGAUUGUCACUGAGCUAACAUCUGUGCCAGUCUUCCUCUAUUUUGUGUGUGGGAUGCUGCUGCAGUAAGGCUGAUGAGCAGUGUGUAGGUCCAUGCCUAGGAUCUGAA
ensembl:lncRNA